GAUGAAGAACGUAGCGAAAUGCGAUAAGUAAUGUGAAUUGCAGAAUUCAGUGAAUCAUCGAAUCUUUGAACGCACAUUGCGCCCAUUAGUAUUCUAAUGGGCAUGCCUGUUCGAGCGUCAUUUCAACCCUCAAGCCUUAGUUGCUUGGUGUUGGGAGCUUAUCCUGCCGCAAGGCGGGACAACUCCUUAAAUUUAUUGGCGGAGUCGCGGUGACCCCAAGCGCAGUAAUUCCUUUUCUCGCUUUAGGUGUUAACGCUGGCUUCUAGCCAUUAAACCCUCUAAUUUCUCAAUGGUUGACCUCGGAUCAGGUAGGACUACCCGCUGAACUUAAGCAUAUCAAUAAGCGGAGGA
rnacentral:misc_RNA from 1 species